CCCACAUUAUAAUUUAUUAUUAAUCAUUAAAAAAAUAAUAUACAUAUAAUUAAUUUAAUUAAUGCUAAAGUGAAGAGAACUUUUGAAAAAAUGGAAAGAAAAAAAAUCUUUGAAAAAAUAAUUAAUGAACUAAAUGUAGACUCUAUAAACUUAUAAAAGAUCAAUUUGAGAUUUAAUUGAAAUGAGGUGUUAAAAAAAAAAACUAUAGAUACUUUAUCCACUUGUCAAAACUCAAAACAUGAAGAGAAUAGUCUUUGCUUUAGGCUUAAUAUAUACACACACACAUUUUAAUCCUCUUGGUUUCUCCAGGCAUUGGGCUUACUCUUUCUAUUGCUCUAUUCACAAUUCCAUGCAAACAUUUAUUUUUUGUCUUGCAUUUUAGCAGUCGAUGCAUGACCAUGUUGAUGCUUGG
rnacentral:misc_RNA from 1 species